AACACUGUAUUUUGAUUGUGUGAUGGUUACCAAUUAUAUAUCCUGUUGCCUAGAUCAGCUCAGGCACAUAGUAAAUAUUUAUUGAAUAAAUUAAUAACAUAUUCGUUUCACACACAUAUACACAAACCCUUGCACCUCUGGAAACUGUAUCUUCAUAUAGCAAAACUUCUAAAUAAGUACAUUAUUAUGAUAAUUAUUAAUGCUGUAGAAUCCAGUUACUUGCAAUCUUGAUAAGUACGUAGGGCUUGCAGUGGAAACAUUCAUCCAUUCAUCCAUUCAUUCACUAAUUUAAAUAACAAAUGUUGACUAAACAACUACUUUAUUCCAGGUGCCAGGACUGGACAAUGGAGAUAAUAGGAUGAUGCAGCUUCUGUCUUCACAGAUCUUAUUAUUCAAAGGAGAAGACAGUAAAACAAACAAAUAAGUAUUUCCAGAAAGCCUGUAGUUUUGACUGGGUAGGAAGGGAAAGGAGAAGAAAGAUGAUCACAAAAGGUUCAUGAAUGGGUUUUGCUCUGGUUUUGCUAAGUUCUGGAUAGACAGCUGCCAGCAAAAAGGACAGCAUGGGGAGAAAGCAGUACCAGCAAAGAAUGAAAAAGGGCAGGGGCUGCCAAACAGGCAUUUUGCUCACUACACAAUUUGUUUAGCACUGGUUCUGGAAGUGGAAGCCACGUUGUGUUACAGAAUCAUGGACAACUGACAGAUGCUAGAAUGGGCUAGACUGGAUGAGAGUAGUGGCGGUGGGAGGGUGUCAAUGGGCCAGAAUGCUCUGUAAAUUGUUUGACAUUGUCUUGCGUUCACUCAUGUAGUCACUCAUUCUACACAUAUUUAUUAGGGCUCACUCUGAGCCAACCCGUAUAACCAAAGGGUGAAUCUGGGCUCUGGAGAACUGGCUAUUGGAAGUCUUCCUGUUCUUUAGUUACUGCUUCCUGCUAGGGCUUUAGGAUCUACUUCUCUCUUCCAGAAAGUAGGUAGCAUAGUAGGUAGCAUAGUUGAGCAAUUAAGAAGAGAGGCUGUCAAUGAACCCUAUCUGCAUUUUGUCUGGGUGACUCGGUCAAGUUAUUCCAUUUCUCUGAACCUGUUUCCUCAUGAGUAAAAAAUGUUAGAGUAGAAACACCUCCUUGGAGGGCUGCUGGGUGGAUUAAAUGAAACAAUGCAUGUAAAAGAAUUGGCAUGGUUCCUUGCAUGUAGGAAGCCUUAGAUAAAGUGUUAUUGUUAACAGCUCAGAAGCCACCCGGUGAUUAUGGCUCCAAAAGGAGUGAAAUCUCAGGGGUUCCGUAACCUUUCAGAAAAAUGAGGGCUCUCUUGGGCUGAAAUUCUGAAUGCUGGCUCUUACUGCAAAGGUGGAUUGACUACUAAAGUGAUUCAUUUGGGUAAUAAGGGGUCAACACACGCAUAUUCAGAGGAGUCCUCAGUGGCCAAGAGGAAACCAACCAAUGACAGCAAACUCUCCUAGAGAUGUGAAGAUGUAUGUGGAGUGGACAGCAUUUCAGUUCUGCUGUAUGUCUCCAGGAAACCACUGGUCCCUGAAGAGACAGAAGACAAGACAGGGGGCAGGGGCUGAAGAGACACUCACCACCUGCUGGGGAGGUUCCAUCCCUAUGGGUAAUUGGAAAACGUCCGAAAAACCCCUUGUUGGGAAGGGUUAUUAAAGCUACUUGUAAACAACACAAACAGAUCUGAAGGCAGCCAAUAGUCUGGGGCUGACCAGCUGUUCAUUUUCAUAAAGGGCAACAUAAUUUUCAGCUUAGGGUUUUAAUGGCAGUUUAUGCCUGAUGCCAUAAAGCCCUGUAUCAAAACUGCUCCCCUGAGGAAGAGAAAGAAAGGUGUGCAAAGCACAAGGAUAUUGUCCAUACCUAAUGUACUGAAUGGUCCCCAGUCCUCAAACUCAUACCUAACCUUAUUGCAUUCUCAAUGAAAAUGGUCCUGGCUCAUUAAGGAAAACAAUCAAUGGCCUUACUGAAGCCCAGCAUGCAUAUGUCUGAACCAGAAUCAAAAUGAGAAUUGCUUACAUA